UACGUGAAACCUCUCGGGGGUAAGCGGGCAGAACUUGCAAGUAAUGAUAAAAAGAUUCAGACUUUGUAUUGAUGGCUGAGAGUAUUUGUUAAGUUGUUUGUUCGCAAACUGACUAAUUUGUUCUCUUUGAUCUAUUAAUAAUGCGUCGCAUUUCUUUUUAUCUACGGGUUGUAUGCAACUGAAUUUGAUAAUUUUAGGUGCUGAGAUACUGCAAAUCCUUGUUGGUUUGAGUCUUAGUUUCCAAUUAUUUAUGCGGUUGUUAUAAUUUAAUCGAACAUGUGUUUU
rnacentral:rRNA from 1 species